rnacentral:rRNA from 1 species
GACGAACGCUGGCGGCGUGCUUAACACAUGCAAGUCGAACGAUGAACCUUCCAUGAUCUAUUCGUAGAGAUUGGAAGCGGAUUAGUGGCGAACGGGUGAGUAACGCGUGAGCAACCUGCCUUAAACAACGGGAUAGCCUCGGGAAACCGGGAUUAUUCCCGUAUGAGACCCCGCCUUCCCAUGAAGAAGAGGUUAAAGAUUUAUCGGUUUAAGAUGGGCUCGCGUCUGAUUAGCUAGUUGGUGAGAUAAAAGCCCACCAAGGCAACGAUCAGUAACCGGCUUGAGAGAGUGAACGGUCACAUUGGAACUGAGACACGGUCCAAACUCCUACGGGAGGCAGCAGUGGGGAAUAUUGCACAAUGGGGGAAACCCUGAUGCAGCGACGCCGCGUGAGCGAUGAAGGAAUUCGUUUCGUAAAGCUCUGUCCAAGGGGAAGAUAAUGACAGUACCCUUGGAGGAAGCCCCGGCUAAAUACGUGCCAGCCGCCGCCGUAA